AUGUGGUUCAAAUUCAUUAGAAAUUCUCCAAAUCUCCACCCUCCUCAGGGUGCAGAGUUGGCUGCUUUUCUGUGUCCCCUGCUGAUCACCGCAACUCCUGGGUGCCUCGCCCUGAGAAGCCCCCGCUGUCCUCCAUCUGCAGACAAGCCGAGGCGGAUGCCACUGGACAUCCUUGCCAAGGUGUGUCAGUUUCAAUUAAACCCAGAAUGGGGUGUUGGAGCUCAAAGGAGCCAUCGUCAAGCCAUUGCUUGAGCAAAGGAAGAGGAUGUUCUCAGGCCUGAUGGAGUCACUGAGGGACCCUGAUGAGGGCUCUGAGUAGCCCUGGAUGGGAAGGAGACCUCUCCAUCCCCAGGCACAGGGAGACCAGCCUGUGCAGUAUUUUCCUCUCCUGCAUUUCAAGCCAGCUAAAGGCAGCCUUCACUUCCAGCUUCACUUCAGGAGUCCCCAUCUCUGAAGCCAGAUUCACCUGCGGCGGCUUCUUCCUGGUGACCUGACAUCGCUUUCAUGAUGUUUUUAUUCCAGAACCACCUGAGAGAGAAAAGAGAACUGGUUAUAAAAAGGAACUGCUUCUUUUAAUGACUCUUAAACUCCAGAGUGACCUGCCCAAGGGCAGGGAGCAGUGGAGCCUGGGGUGUUUCUGACAGCAGGGGCCAUCCAUCACCUGGCCCUGCCUCUGGCUUUGCACUGCCUUCCGCAGACCUCAUCACUGCUGUCCUCUGUGGCAUUUAAUCAAUGGCCUUUCUAGGAGUUCUGAGUGAUGCUGUCUCUUGUCAGAUGAGAAUCCACCUGCAGCUGCCUCUGGAAGGAGUGUUCCAAAAGAGGAGGGUCCCAGGUUCUCCCUCUGCUGGGUAGGGGGAGGUCAUAGGAGACGCGUUGGCCCCUGGGCAGCCCUUGUGGUUCCUGAAAUUCCACAGCAACAACAUGGAACCUCCAGGCUCCUCCAGGCUCAGCCCCAGAGGUGGGAUGGAAGAGAUGCCCAGAGCUCUGGGCUCCUGCAAAACCCAGCUCCCUUGUCUGCUCACAGCCGUGGCUCUGCCAUCACCUACCUGGAACCUGGCAGACUGUUCUUAUCUCCCCUCUAUCCCUGGUCAUGUCAGCAGCCAGGAAGCCCAGGACCCAAGUCCCCCCUCAUCCCCACUCUAAUCUCCCCCAGCUCUGAGGCAUGAAGACCCCCCCAACUCUUCCUGAUCCCCUUGACCCCUCUUACUCCCUGAGCCUGGGAUCCCCUUACUAUCCUCCCUCCACCUUCUUUUCCCCACAGCAUGGCUACCCUUGCACAUGCUCAGUUUCUUGCUCAUUUAUUUAUUUGAGUUCUAGAACGCAUGCUUUGGGCAGCAAGAGCUUUUGUCUGCAGAUUUUUAUCUCAUGUAAAACAGGCCAUGGCUCUGGAGAGGGAGAAGUGCUAUGACGGGCCACUGGAGAAGUGGCUCAGGGUCAGAGGCACCUGUGGUGGGGGGACAGUGAAGGCUGCGGGGACGGAAGACCAGAGCUCAAGUGCUGCCUGCCUUUAACUUUCUGGACAGGCCAUGGGAAAGGCUAGGCGGGGCUCCGGUUCCAAGUGUGGCGAGGAAGUCACUUGUCACCAGGUUUCCCUGCAAUGGAGCCACCCAUUAAUGCAUAAUGUCUGCUCCUGCAAGCCUGUGAAAUACGUCCCAGGCCAGGGCUUUGAAUCCUGAGCGGCAA
rnacentral:lncRNA from 1 species